CCUACGGGUGGCAGCAGUGAGGAAUAUUGGUCAAUGGCCGGAAGGCUGAACCAGCCAUGCCGCGUGAAGGUCAGUGCCCUAUGGGCGGUAAACUUCUUUUGUGCGGGAGCAAUAAUGGUCACGGGUGGCCAGACGAGAGUACCGUACGAAUAAGCAUCGGCUAACUCCGUGCCAGCCGCCGCGGUAAUACCGGGGAUGGAAGCGUUAUCCGGAUUUAUUUGGUUUAGAGGGUGCGUAGGCUGGGAGGUAAGGUAGGUGUGGAAUGCCCCCGGUCAACGGGGUGAAGUGCCAUUGAUACUGGCUGGCUGGAAUGCAGAUGCGGUCGGAGGAACGUGAGGUGUAGCGGUGAAAUGCAUAGAUAU
rnacentral:rRNA from 1 species